rnacentral:rRNA from 1 species
CUGGCAUCGAUGAAGAACGCAGCGAAAUGCGAUAAGUAAUGUGAAUUGCAGAAUUCAGUGAAUCAUCGAAUCUUUGAACGCACAUUGCGCCCCCUGGUAUUCCGGGGGGCAUGCCUGUUCGAGCGUCAUUUCACCACUCAAGCCUCGCUUGGU